rnacentral:rRNA from 1 species
AGAGUUUGAUCCUGGCUCAGGAUGAACGCUAGCGGCAGGCCUAAUACAUGCAAGUCGAGGGGUAACAGGUGUAGCAAUACAUGCUGACGACCGGCGCACGGGUGCGUAACACGUAUAUAAUCUACCUUUUACUGGAGAAUAGCCCGAAGAAAUUCGGAUUAAUACUCCAUAAUAAUAUUGAGGGGCAUCUCUUGAUAUUUAAAGUUCAGACGGUAAAAGAUGAGUAUGCGCGAUAUUAGCUAGUUGGUGAGGUAACGGCUCACCAAGGCGACGAUAUCUAGGGGUACUGAGAGGUUACACCCCCACACUGGUACUGAGACACGGACCAGACUCCUACGGGAGGCAGCAGUAAGGAAUAUUGGACAAUGGUCGCAAGACUGAUCCAGCCAUGCCGCGUGCAGGAUGACUGCCCUAUGGGUUGUAAACUGCUUUUAUACGGGAAUAAACCCGGGUACGUGUACCCGGCUGAAUGUACUGUAAGAAUAAGGGUCGGCUAACUUCGUGCCAGCAGCCGCGGUAAGACGAAGGACCCAAGCGUUAUCCGGAUUCAUUGGGUUUAAAGGGUGCGUAGGCGGGUUGAUAAGUCAGUGGUGAAAGCCCAACGCUUAACGUUGGAACUGCCAUUGAUACUGUCGAUCUUGAAUGUGUUUGAUGUGGGCGGAAUAUGACAUGUAGCGGUGAAAUGCUUAGAUAUGUCAUAGAACACCGAUUGCGAAGGCAGCUCACAAAGCCACUAUUGACGCUGAGGCACGAAAGCGUGGGGAUCAAACAGGAUUAGAUACCCUGGUAGUCCACGCCGUAAACUUUGAUCACUCGCUGUUGGCGAUACACUGUCAGCGGCUAAGCGAAAGCGUUAAGUGAUCCACCUGGGGAGUACGGUCGCAAGACUGAAACUCAAAGGAAUUGACGGGGGCCCGCACAAGCGGUGGAGCAUGUGGUUUAAUUCGAUGAUACGCGAGGAACCUUACCAGGGCUUGAAAGUUAGCGACUUACCGUGAAAGCGGUGAUCCCUUCGGGGCGCGAAACUAGGUGCUGCAUGGCUGUCGUCAGCUCGUGCCGUGAGGUGUUGGGUUAAGUCCCGCAACGAGCGCAACCCCUACUUCUAGUUGCCAACAGGUAAUGCUGGGGACUCUAGAGGAACUGCCCGCGCAAGCGGUGAGGAAGGUGGGGACGACGUCAAGUCAUCACGGCCCUUACGUCCUGGGCUACACACGUGCUACAAUGGCGGAGACAACGGGCAGCUACACUGCGAAGUGAUGCUAAUCUCUAAACUCCGUCUCAGUUCGGAUUGAAGUCUGCAACUCGACUUCAUGAAGCUGGAAUCGCUAGUAAUCGCGUAUCAGCAAUGACGCGGUGAAUACGUUCCCGGGCCUUGUACGCACCGCCCGUCAAACAAUGGAAGCUGGGAGCACCUAAAGUCAGUAGUCGCAAGACGCUGCCUAGGGUAAAACCGGUAACUGGUGUUAAGUCGAAACAAGGUAGCCGUACCGGAAGGUGCGGCUG